ACAACAAAAUUUACAUUUUCUGUUGUUUCCCAUUUUAAUUGCGGAGUGGAAUGAAACAGUUUAUAUGUAGAAUUUUCCAAAAUUCGUCUUUAAUUGAGCUUUCUUUGUAGAUGAAAUUUGGUAUUAUUAUAUCAACAGCUACAAAAAUAUACAAAAUCUUCUGCAGACCAAUUUUUGAAUAUAAACACACUAUAUAGAACUGAACUAGUGCCAAUAAGGGAAAGACUGCAAAAAUUUCCAAGGAAACUUUUCUAAAGGCUACACAACAUAGAACUAAAGUGACCAUUGAUGCGAAUAUGAUAGAAGUUGUUUAUUAUUAUUAUAUUUAUUUGUAGGUUGAUCAAUUAAUGUGAUUUGAUAAUAUGAAAGAGAAGUUUGUAUGAUGAGAUUGAAUUGAAAGUGCCCUUUUGUUACUAUGAAUAAGUAUUCAAAUUAAAGCUUCUUAUAAUUAUUUUAUGUGAAUUGAGAAAUUUAUUGUUUGUAAUAAUGGAUUGAACUUUAAGAAAUUACAUUAAAAUAUCUAGAAAUGGAUUUUUAAAAGUACUACUAGCUUGUUUCAUAUCAAGAUUAGUUUGACAUUUCACCUUGAUAAUAAUUUCAAACUUUAAAUCAAUGUGUUAUGUGAAGGAUCAGGGCAAGAAAAAGAUUAUUUCAGAUUGUAGCAUCCCUUAUACUAUUAUAUAUAGAUCAUUCAGAAACCACUCAUGAAUCUCAAAAAAGAUUUCUCUUGGGGUUUCAAUACAGAAGGAUUAGGAUAUAAUGCAUAUAAUGGAAAUAUAAUAAAAUCUGUAUCAAAUUCUUUACAGCAUAGAGAAUUUUGGCUGUUCAAUACAGUUGAGAAUACACUUUCAUUGAGUUAUGGGAAAUGAAAUCGUAUAAUCAAUACAGGAAGUAGUUUAUUGUAAGAAAACUUACAGUUGUUCAAAAUUAUAUAUAAUUAUAUUAUAUUAAUUAUAA